rnacentral:lncRNA from 1 species
CCCUCCAGGCACGGCUCCUCGGCACGAGCAGGACGCUGGGUUUGCCUCCUCCACCUCCUCCCCGAGCCCUCAGCUCCUCGCUCCUUUCCUUUCCCCGGCUUCUCCGCUCGCCCAGCGCCUCCUGCUCGUCCCAGGGCUGCCGGGGGGCUCCAUCCUGCGGGGCUGGGGGCUUCAUCCUGCAGGGAUACAGCCGGGGCUGGGCCCAGAGGUGCCCCCCCCGCUGUAUGGGGCCGGGCCCGUCCCCUCCCACCACGGCCCCGCGCGUGGAGCCAAGUUCAAACCGCGAGCCCCAGCGCGGCGGCGGCGGAGCGGGACGCGGAGGGGGGCCAGGCUGUGGGGGCCCCCCCGGUGCCUGCGGGGCUCCAUGAUUCUCCCCAGGGCCCUUUCCUGCGCUGUGCUGCUGCUCCUGCUCCUCGCCGUGCUGGGCCGGGGCAAGAGGUGCAGCAUCGCCAGGAUCCUGCGGCAGUACCGCGCCGUCAUCUUCCACGAGAUCCAGAACCUGAAAAACCUGAGUGGCUCGGCGGAGAGGAGCAGCCGGGCAGGGCUGGCUUGCCGCUCGGACAAGGACCAGAAGAUCCUGCUGGCCAUCUACAACAUCAGCAUGUCCCUGCGGGACGUGGCGGGCGGCACCCUGCGUGGCCCCGAGGAGGUGGCGGUGUGGAAGGUGGCCAGGAACACCGAGUUCGUGCUGAGGGAGAACUGCAGGAGAAUCGGCAAGGUGGGAGCCCUGCCCCUUCCCAGUCUAUCCCAGUAGCUCCCAGUUUCCUGGCCGUGCGCUGGGAGUCGUGGCAAGAGUCCUGGGCCAGAACUGGGAUUUAUCCCCACGGCACCAGUCUGGGUAUCCCCAGGGCUCCGCUGGGGAAUUGCUGGGGAAACCCCAGCCUGGAGGCUCUCCUGCCCAGCCAACUCAUUAACCGGGCAACUCAUUAACUAAUUAAGCAGCGGGGAAGCCCCUGGGGUGGCACAGUGCGACUGGGGGCAUCUCCCUGCCAUGGUGGGGAAACCACCUGGGGUUAACCCUUCCUGGCUGCGGGCUGGGGGGGCUGGAAAACCACUUCUGCCCCACACGUGGACGUGCCAUGGGGUGUCCGGGGUGGGUGCUGCAGGCUGGGGGGGGGUCCCCAAAUCUCCUGCAGCCCCGGGGACCCCACCUGUCCGUGGGGCACCUCCUUGCUGUGGGUGGUUUGGGGUCCCCGAUGCGCACGGGGUCUGCGCCCUCCCCUGGGGCUCAGCAUUUUUGGGGUUUUGGGGGGGUGGCUGCCUGCUGGGGCUAUUUCUCACCCCUUUGGCACCCCGACAGCAGAGCCCACCCCGCGCCCCGGUGCAGCCCCGCGGGAGGAGGAAGCAGCUGAAGGAGAUCUCCAGGAGGGCGCAGCGGCUGGCGACGUGCUGGGAGAAGCUCUACGCCCUGCACGGCCCCCCCCGGGGCUCCUAGGGGUCCCCUCACCUCCUCCCCGCUCUGCUUUCGUGCCUGACGCCGCCUGGUUUUUGGGACCUGGGGGAAAUUCAACCCCGAAGUCAGCCAAAGAGGUACCAGGGGGUGCCCGGAUUUAAUUCAUCCUCUUGUUUCGAGUGGGACCCCCGGGACUGGCCCCGGUGCACGGGGUGGGUGC